UAGAGAGUAGUAUAUUGGAGGUACGGAGGGUUUUGAUCUCUCAGACACAGGUUCGAGUCCUGUCUUUCUAA
rnacentral:tRNA from 2 species